UUUGGCAGCAAUAUACUAAAAAUAAAUAAAUAAUUGGAAUGAUACAGAGAUUAGCAUGGCUCCUGGGCAACGAUGACACAAAUUUGGGAAGUGUUUCAUGUUUUA